rnacentral:rRNA from 1 species
CAGUAGCCGCGGGAACACAGAGGGUGCAAGCGUUAAUCGGAAUUACUGGGCGUAAAGCGCGCGUAGGUGGUUUGUUAAGUUGGAUGUGAAAUCCCCGGGCUCAACCUGGGAACUGCAUCCAAAACUGGCAAGCUAGAGUAUGGUAGAGGGUGGUGGAAUUUCCUGUGUAGCGGUGAAAUGCGUAGAUAUAGGAAGGAACACCAGUGGCGAAGGCGACCACCUGGACUGAUACUGACACUGAGGUGCGAAAGCGUGGGGAGCAAACAGGAUUAGAUACCCCUGUAGUCCCUGUCUCUUAUAC